rnacentral:rRNA from 1 species
GACGAACGCUGGCGGCGUGCUUAACACAUGCAAGUCGAACGAAGUGGCGAACGGGUGAGUAACGCGUAAUCAACCUGCCCUUCAGAGGGGGACAACAGUUGGAAACGACUGCUAAUACCGCAUACUGAAGGAGGGGAUGGCGUGUGAUAAGCUAGUUGGAGGGGGAACGGCCUACCAAGGCGAUGAUCAGUAGGCGGUCUGAGAGGAUGAACGGCCACAUUGGGACUGAGACAACGCCCAGACUCCUACGGGAGGCAGCAGUGGGGAAUCUGCCGCAAUGGACGGAAGUCUGACGGAGCAACGCCGCGUGAGUGAUGACGGCCUUCGGGUUGUAAAGCUAUGUUAAUCGGGACGCGGUACCGGAAUAGAAAGCCACGGCUAACUACGUGCCAGCCGCCGCGGUAAUAC